CCAGGUAGCUCAGUCGGUAGAGCAGGGGACUGAAAAUCCCCGUGUCGGCGGUUCGAUUCCGUCCCUGGCC
rnacentral:tRNA from 1 species